rnacentral:lncRNA from 1 species
GAGAAGGGAAGGAAGCCCAUGUGAGGACACUGAAGAAGGAGUGAGCAGACAAUAAGAAGCCCACAGAAGACAGAGAAGGAACAACUAGAGGGAGAAGCCAAGGCAGUUUCUCCACAGACACUACCCAAAGCAGUCCUUCACUACAGUGGCAGACAGACCUGAAAAUUUUCAUCUGAAGCAGCAGAGUGAACUGCAGAGUCAGGUCACCAACCAGUGUGGAGGCUAAAAGCGGGCCUCUUUGGGGAUUCCAGGAACAAAGAUCACCACAACUGGCUCCCCUUCAACUAUGUUAGAUGGCAACUUGCCUUCAGUAUGGUGAAACACAUCAGUUAAGACUGGGGUUGUGCAUGGCAGGACUUUCUACAAGGACACCCAGUCUCCUUAAUAAACAUGAGAUGCUCUCUUUCCAGAAGUUCUCUUGCCUGACACAGCAUAGGAAGAUGCUGAACGGCCACACAGUGACCCAUUGAGAUAGAAUCUCACUAUGUUGACCAGGCUGGUCUUGAACUCUUGGCACCCAAGCGAUCCUUUUGCCUGGAAUCCCAAAGUGUCAGAUUUACUGAAGAAUAUUUCAUUGUAAUUACUUUUUAUACUUUAUAGGUCAAGAGCUCUGUUUUAAAGACAAAAUUUAUUGAAUAUACUUUUUCAAACAAA